GACGAACGCUGGCGGCGUGCCUAAUACAUGCAAGUCGAACGAACUCUGGUAUUGAUUGGUGCUUGCAUCAUGAUUUACAUUUGAGUGAGUGGCGAACUGGUGAGUAACACGUGGGAAACCUGCCCAGAAGCGGGGGAUAACACCUGGAAACAGAUGCUAAUACCGCAUAACAACUUGGACCGCAUGGUCCGAGCUUGAAAGAUGGCUUCGGCUAUCACUUUUGGAUGGUCCCGCGGCGUAUUAGCUAGAUGGUGGGGUAACGGCUCACCAUGGCAAUGAUACGUAGCCGACCUGAGAGGGUAAUCGGCCACAUUGGGACUGAGACACGGCCCAAACUCCUACGGGAGGCAGCAGUAGGGAAUCUUCCACAAUGGACGAAAGUCUGAUGGAGCAACGCCGCGUGAGUGAAGAAGGGUUUCGGCUCGUAAAACUCUGUUGUUAAAGAAGAACAUAUCUGAGAGUAACUGUUCAGGUAUUGACGGUAUUUAACCAGAAAGCCACGGCUAACUACGUGCCAGCAGCCGCGGUAAUACGUAGGUGGCAAGCGUUGUCCGGAUUUAUUGGGCGUAAAGCGAGCGCAGGCGGUUUUUUAAGUCUGAUGUGAAAGCCUUCGGCUCAACCGAAGAAGUGCAUCGGAAACUGGGAAACUUGAGUGCAGAAGAGGACAGUGGAACUCCAUGUGUAGCGGUGAAAUGCGUAGAUAUAUGGAAGAACACCAGUGGCGAAGGCGGCUGUCUGGUCUGUAACUGACGCUGAGGCUCGAAAGUAUGGGUAGCAAACAGGAUUAGAUACCCUGGUAGUCCAUACCGUAAACGAUGAAUGCUAAGUGUUGGAGGGUUUCCGCCCUUCAGUGCUGCAGCUAACGCAUUAAGCAUUCCGCCUGGGGAGUACGGCCGCAAGGCUGAAACUCAAAGGAAUUGACGGGGGCCCGCACAAGCGGUGGAGCAUGUGGUUUAAUUCGAAGCUACGCGAAGAACCUUACCAGGUCUUGACAUACUAUGCAAAUCUAAGAGAUUAGACGUUCCCUUCGGGGACAUGGAUACAGGUGGUGCAUGGUUGUCGUCAGCUCGUGUCGUGAGAUGUUGGGUUAAGUCCCGCAACGAGCGCAACCCUUAUUAUCAGUUGCCAGCAUUAAGUUGGGCACUCUGGUGAGACUGCCGGUGACAAACCGGAGGAAGGUGGGGAUGUCGUCAAAUCAUCAUGCCCCUUAUGACCUGGGCUACACACGUGCUACAAUGGAUGGUACAACGAGUUGCGAACUCGCGAGAGUAAGCUAAUCUCUUAAAGCCAUUCUCAGUUCGGAUUGUAGGCUGCAACUCGCCUACAUGAAGUCGGAAUCGCUAGUAAUCGCGGAUCAGCAUGCCGCGGUGAAUACGUUCCCGGGCCUUGUACACACCGCCCGUCACACCAUGAGAGUUUGUAACACCCAAAGUCGGUGGGGUAACCUUUUAGGAACCAGCCGCCUAAGGUGGGACAGAUGAUUAGGGUG
rnacentral:rRNA from 1 species